ensembl:lncRNA
UCAUCAAAUAUUUCGGGGGGAUUUAGCCUUAACUCGUUUUUGUUUUUUUUUUGUUUUUUUAUUCUUGCAGCUGUUCAGUCCACAUUUGGUCCAUCACAGAGAAUCUUGGAGCUGGCUCAACACAAAACCUCAAAAACAGUCUGGGCCACGACUCCUUGUGAGAAGCUGAGCUGGGGCAACCAGGAGCCUGUAUGGCCCAUCUCUGCUUCAGCGCUCGGAGCCGCUCCAAGUGCAAGAAUCCAAUACCUAUCCAGGCACAAAAGAGAUUUCUCAGCAAGGGAGGACCACCGGAGGAAGGAGGAGGAGGCGACGGCGAGCCUCUUCAGGAAGACCCAGCGGCCUUCCUCCAAGACGUCCCAGUACGAAAACACCCUGCGUUUGUCGACACCCAGAACCAGGACUCGUAGCUCCCAGGAUGCAGGGCCUCCUCACACGCCUCAGUGUGAAAAAAACUGUCCUGUGUGGCACACCGAACCCAGGGUGAAAAGUGCCGUGAUCACACCUCGACUGCUGCAGCUUUCCAAACCCAAACUUGCACAUCCGGACUUCCAGAGGAGCAGGGAGAGCGUUGCUUCCAUCGUCUCUCUCUCAUCCAGAAAAGCUCGCAUCUCGCAGAGACUCGUCCAGCUGUCGCUGCCCAGACUGAAGGAGAGCAACAUCUGCUGCGCACUUGGACGUCCAGAGGAAUCCAUCUGGAAUGUUUCAAGAGCAGCGAGGAGAGCCACAGCGAGCGCUCGCAUUGAGAUGCUGGCAGAACCAAAGCAGCUUUCCAAGGACUACAUCCCACCACGAGACCCAGAGUGGAGCCGGAAAAACGUCCAGUCCAUCUGAGUGCGUGUCACCAUCAAGUCGGUGUUUCACCAGACUGAACUCUUUGUGUUUUCCACCCCAGACUAAAACAGAAACAUUUAAAGGUUGAAAUUCAGAUCCUGUAUUCAUGUUUCUGUGCUUUAUUUACAUUCACAGUCUCUUUAAUGGUAAUUAUGACAGUUAUUUCGAGCGAGUUAUCACAGCUUGUACAAAGAAAAAGUAGUACCAAGAAUGAACCCCCGACUUACUGUGAAAUUAAUGAUGAGCCAGAGAGAUCCAACAGGGAAACACUGGAGUGUCUGUCUCUGUGUGGCUCUGUUAUCAUCAUCAUCAGCAUGUCUAUGAAAUCUUAAAUGAGUUAGCGUUGGACUGGAUAUGGCUGACAUGAUAUGUUGCUGGUUUAAAUCUCUGAUGCCUUGGCAGAUUGAGGGAGUAAUGUUAAGAAUAAAAACAUGUCUGUGGCUCUCUCCGUCUACAGUCUGCAGCUUUUGUCUGAGCCUCGGCACGAUACUGCGAUCCACGUGGUUUUUCCUUUGCAGCCGAGCAGGAUUCUGCAUUUUAUUACAACCAUGUGUGUAUGAAUCCAUAAACACUGUCAGAGUCAUGACACAAAUCUCUCAGUAUUUUUUCCAGGGUAAAGUAGAAGCCAUUCAGAAGCUGCUCCUAUGUCAAAGGUCAUGACUUUGACAUAGGAUGCCAGGUGCUGGGACAUCAUCGUGAAAAUCCUGCUGUUAUCUUAUUUACACCACUGGCUGCUGUAACUAAGCGCUUUGUAAAAAUUGCUCAUCCAUUAUUCUAGAGUGAACCUACAACCCACUGUGAGGCUAAUCAGGGAUUAGCCGGCUGCAAUCACGACAUCCAACCGUGAGGUGUAAAGAAGGCAGAGGAGGUGGCGAGGAUGGAGGCAAAGCAAAG